UAGUCAUAUGCUUGUCUCAAAGAUUAAGCCAUGCAUGUCUAAGUAUAAGCGACUUGUACUGUGAAACUGCGAAUGGCUCAUUAAAUCAGUUAUGGUUUCUUUGAUGGUACCUUGCUACUUGGAUACCCGUAGUAAUUCUAGAGCUAAUACAUGCAGGACUGCCCGACUUCGGAAGGGCUGUAUUUAUUAGAUAAGAAACCAUCUUGGGUCCGCCCGGUUGUGUGCUGAGUCAUAAUAACUGCUCGAAUCGCACGGCUCUACGCCGGCGAUGGUUCAUUCAAAUUUCUGCCCUAUCAGCUUUCGAUGGUAGGAUAGAGGCCUACCAUGGCGUUAACGGGUAACGGAGAAUUAGGGUUCGAUUCCGGAGAGGGAGCCUGAGAAAUGGCUACCACAUCCAAGGAAGGCAGCAGGCGCGUAAAUUGCCCGAAUCCUGACACAGGGAGGUAGUGACAAGAAAUAACAAUACAGGGCUACUUCUAGUCUUGUAAUUGGAAUGAGUACAACUUACAUCUCUUCACGAGGAUCAAUU
rnacentral:rRNA from 1 species